CAAUUUAAACAACGAAGAGUUUGAUCCUGGCUCAGGAUGAACGCUAGCGACAGGCUUAACACAUGCAAGUCGAGGGGCAGCGGGGGUAGCGAUACCCGCCGGCGACCGGCGCACGGGUGAGUAACGCGUAUGCAACUUGCCUAUCAGAGGGGGAUAACCCGGCGAAAGUCGGACUAAUACCGCAUGAAGCAGGGAUCCCGCAUGGGAAUAUUUGCUAAAGAUUCAUCGCUGAUAGAUAGGCAUGCGUUCCAUUAGGCAGUUGGCGGGGUAACGGCCCACCAAACCGACGAUGGAUAGGGGUUCUGAGAGGAAGGUCCCCCACAUUGGUACUGAGACACGGACCAAACUCCUACGGGAGGCAGCAGUGAGGAAUAUUGGUCAAUGGCCGAGAGGCUGAACCAGCCAAGUCGCGUGAGGGAUGAAGGUUCUAUGGAUCGUAAACCUCUUUUAUAAGGGAAUAAAGUGCGGGACGUGUCCCGUUUUGUAUGUACCUUAUGAAUAAGGAUCGGCUAACUCCGUGCCAGCAGCCGCGGUAAUACGGAGGAUCCGAGCGUUAUCCGGAUUUAUUGGGUUUAAAGGGUGCGUAGGCGGCCUUUUAAGUCAGCGGUGAAAGUCUGUGGCUCAACCAUAGAAUUGCCGUUGAAACUGGGGGGCUUGAGUAUGUUUGAGGCAGGCGGAAUGCGUGGUGUAGCGGUGAAAUGCAUAGAUAUCACGCAGAACCCCGAUUGCGAAGGCAGCCUGCCAAGCCAUUACUGACGCUGAUGCACGAAAGCGUGGGGAUCAAACAGGAUUAGAUACCCUGGUAGUCCACGCAGUAAACGAUGAUCACUAGCUGUUUGCGAUACACUGUAAGCGGCACAGCGAAAGCGUUAAGUGAUCCACCUGGGGAGUACGCCGGCAACGGUGAAACUCAAAGGAAUUGACGGGGGCCCGCACAAGCGGAGGAACAUGUGGUUUAAUUCGAUGAUACGCGAGGAACCUUACCCGGGUUUGAACGCAUUCGGACCGAGGUGGAAACACCUUUUCUAGCAAUAGCCGUUUGCGAGGUGCUGCAUGGUUGUCGUCAGCUCGUGCCGUGAGGUGUCGGCUUAAGUGCCAUAACGAGCGCAACCCUUGCCACUAGUUACUAACAGGUGAUGCUGAGGACUCUGGUGGGACUGCCAGCGUAAGCUGCGAGGAAGGCGGGGAUGACGUCAAAUCAGCACGGCCCUUACAUCCGGGGCGACACACGUGUUACAAUGGCGUGGACAAAGGGAGGCCACCUGGCGACAGGGAGCGAAUCCCCAAACCACGUCUCAGUUCGGAUCGGAGUCUGCAACCCGACUCCGUGAAGCUGGAUUCGCUAGUAAUCGCGCAUCAGCCAUGGCGCGGUGAAUACGUUCCCGGGCCUUGUACACACCGCCCGUCAAGCCAUGGGAGCCGGGGGUACCUGAAGUCCGUAACCGAAAGGAUCGGCCUAGGGUAAAACUGGUGACUGGGGCUAAGUCGUAACAAGGUAGCCGUACCGGAAGGUGCGGCUGGAACACCUCCUUUCU
rnacentral:rRNA from 1 species